rnacentral:lncRNA from 1 species
AGCGGACACAAGUGAACACAACGUAAUUUCUAUAUAAAACUUAUAAAAUCUGCUGGCUACAGGUGGACACAGCUAGACACAGUGCUAUUUCUAUAUAAAAGUUCUAGAAAUGAGGGAGAUACAGGCGUACACAAGUGGACACAACGUAAAUUCUAUAUAAAAUUCUAUAAUUGGGGGGAUACAAGCGGACACAAGUGGACACAACGUAAUUUCUAUAUAAAACUUAUAAAGUCUGCUGGCUACAGGUGGACACAGCUGGACACAGUGCUAUUUCUAUAUAAAACUUCAAAAAAUGGGGGCUAAAGGCGGACACAAGUGGACACAACGUUAUUUCUAUAUAAAACUUAUAAAAUAUGCAGGCUACAGGCGGACACAGCUCGACACAGUGCUAUUUCUAUAUAAAACUUCUAGAAAUGAGGGGAUACAGGCGGACACAAGUGGACACAACGUAAACUCUAUAUAAAACUUUAUGAAAUAGUAGGAUACAAGCGGACACAAGUGGACACAACGUAAUUUCUAUAUAAAACUUAUAAAAUCUGCUGGCUACAGGUGGACACAGCUGGACACAUAACUAUUCCUAUAUAAAACUUCUAGAAAUGGGGGGCUACAGGCGGACACAAGUGGACACAACGUAAAUUUCUAUAUAAAACUUUAUGAAAUAGGGGGAUACAAGCAGACACAAGUGGACACAACGUAAUUUCUAUCUAAAACUUAUAAAAUCUGCUGGCUACAGGUGGACACAGCUGGACACAGUGCUAUUUCUAUAUAAAAGUUCUAGAAAUGGGGGGGGGGGGGGGGGGCUACAGGCGGACACAAGUGGACACAACGUUAUUUCUAUAUAAAACUUAUAAAAUCUGCUGGCUACAGGUGGACACAGCUGGACACAGUGCUAUUUCUAUAUAA